CUGUUUGGCUGGAGAUGCACAUGCUUGGUGGAGGAGAAUGCGGCAGAACCGAGGUUUGGAUGCAUUGCAGAUGAGAUGGGACGAGUUUCGUGGUAUGCUGUAUGGGUCCUAUUUCCGAUGCAGCAUAAAGCAGAAACUCGAAGGGGAUCUGAAGAAGGUGCAGCAGGGGGAUCAGUCAGUACAGGAGUAUACUCGGGAGUUU
rnacentral:lncRNA from 1 species